AACGUAGGUGGCAAGCGUUAUCCGGAUUUACUGGGCGUAAAGCGCGUGUAGGCGGCAUGGCAAGUCGGGCAUGAAAGCUCUCGGCUCAACCGGGAGAGGCUGUCCGAAACUGCCAGGCUGGAGGGCACCAGAGGGUGGUGGAAUUCCGCAUGUAGUGGUGAAAUGCGUAGAGAUGCGGAGGAACACCUGUGGCGAAAGCGGCCACCUGGGGUGCACCUGACGCUGAAGCGCGAAAGCUAGGGGAGCGAACGGG
rnacentral:rRNA from 1 species